rnacentral:rRNA from 1 species
GACAUUUGGUGUUGAAGGGCCGCGGUAUUAUGACCGUGCAAAGGUAGCAUAAUCAUUAGUUCUUUAAUUGUGAUCUGGAAUGAAUGGCUUGACGAGGCACGGGCUGUCUUAGUGUUGAAUGUUUUAUUGAAUUUGGUCUUUGAGUUAAAAUUCUUAGAUGUUUUUGUGGGACGAGAAGACCCUAUAGAGUUUGACAUUUGGUUUAUUUACUUGUUUGUUGUUUGUUUAUUUUUGGUGAGUGGGCUUUUUGUUUUGUUGGGGUGAUGGGAGGAAUGUACUUAACUCCUCUUAGUUUUGGUUAUAUUGAUUUAUAAU